rnacentral:lncRNA from 1 species
CUACACUCUAUACCUAGGGGAACGCCUACAAUGAGCUGAAGAAAAAAAAAACAACGCCUAAGGGGAGAGCUACAACCGCAAUAGACACGACCCCCAGGAACUUCACCUUCCUCGUCGCACCCCACCUCCAAACACCAACAGAGCUCACCUCAAAAAUAAUAGAGAGCAGCGGCGCAUCUCCCCUGGAUUUUCCUCCAUUUUUCCCUUCUUCUUCUACAAUCACAAUAAUCAAACCCCUCCCCCCCCCCCCACAUUAGAAGACAAAAGAAUCAGAAGCUCACUCACGUGCCUUCACUAAUUCAGAAGUAAGAAUCCGAAAUUCAAAACUAGGAAAAAGAAUCGAGCUCUAGAAUGAGAUUUUGGGAACUUUUCUUUGGGUCUUAAAGCUUUCGAAGGUCCAAUUGGUCUGGGUUCCCAUCGUUUUCUGUUGUUUGAUUGCUGGAUUUCUGCUAAGCUUCGGUCUUGGUUCGUGAGUGCCGAACAAGUUUGUUGCCAUGACUGCUGUAGAGAUUUUGUACCAAUGUUAACAUUGAAUAGAUUGAUGGAAGUUCUCUUCAAAGGUCCUUUCCUUUGUCUAUUUGUUUCCAUAUAUUUUUUGCUUUAGUCAUUUUCUCUUAAAUGAUCUGUUGUUCUUGACAUAUUUAGUUCUUUUUGAUUAUUUAAGUUUGAUUUAGUUUAGUCUUAUAUCUCUUUUGAUUAACUAUGGAAAUUGAGUGAUUGGUAUUGGCUAAUAAAAAGUCAAUUUAGUCAUGAAUUGCUAGAAUAAUGGUUCAUCUAUCGAUUGGGUCAUGGGAAUUUUGGUUGAUAAUGUGAUGCCAACAAGAUUUGGAUUUUGGUAUUGAAUAUUAUUUGUUGGAUUUAAUGAGCCAUGGGUUUAAUGAACUUAUUCGGCAACAUUCUGAUUUCCACCACUUCUUCAAGCCCAUAUAAAAUGUGAGACAUAUUUUUAUAGUUGUCCAAUUGCUUGAUUCCAAAUAAAUUUGGUUCCAAUAAAAAACUUAGUUAUAAAUUUCGAACAUAUUAGUGCAAAUUAGUGUAUAAUUGUGCAGCAAAUGAGGAUGUCAGUGUUUGCCUUUAAUAACAUGGAAAUGGCGUAGGAAUUUUGAUUUGCGCCCUUUGAAAGGCGUAGGAAAUGGCGUAGUAUGUUUCCUGAGUUUGUUUUUGUUUCUUAGCCUCUUCUUUUUAAAUCAGAAUGGUAUCACAUUUAGCAAUCUUUCCAUGUUCUAUUUUUUUUAAUGUUUGUGUUAAAAAGCUUGAGUAUGUUUUAUGUUUCUGUUGGUCUUUAGUUUACAUUAGUGUAAAUUGGAGAUGAAUCAAAAAAGGUAGAAAUUGAAAUUCUGUGAUUCGAUUGGUUCGUGUGGGUUAAGCACGUUCGGACUCAAAUGUUUGGUAUUCCUUGUUUUAUUUUUAGGCCCUUUAAUUAGCUUGAGGCAUGCCAUAUUAGCCAAACAUAUAUUUUAUGGUCCUCAAAAUUAGUUCGAACAUCCUUUGAAGUUAGGAUCGAGGUGUGCCAUAGUGCAAGAUUGGAUAACUCAUGGCCCUUAGAUAAUUAAUAUGAACUCUUUUAAAGUUGAGGUGUGCCAUUAGUUGAAUUUUUCAUGGCCCUCGCAAACUUGAAAGUGGGUAGUUGCUUUAGGCGCGCGUAUUUUAAUAAUAUUACCCUCCUAAACUGGGGUGCGCAUUUAUGUGACCCAAAUCCAAAUCUCAACAACGUUGGAUAAAAUGUGUCGGGGACCGCGGGUGCAUUUAUUUGACGUGGUUCAAGACGUAUUUUAAAUGACGUUGCAAUCUUCCUUAAAAAUGAUCAAAAGCGGUUAAUUAGUUAAAAUUGUAUCAUAGACUAAAACAUGUACGAAAAUCAGAUAAUAGGCUAAUUAUAACAGUUGAGCGACCGUGCUAGAACCACGGAACCCGGGAAUGCCUAAUACCUUCUCCCGGGUUAACAGAAUUCCUUACCUGAAUUUUUGUGUUCGCAGACUGUAAUACAGAGUCAAUCUUUUCCUCGAUCGGGAUUUGAACCGGUGACUUGGGACACCAUAAAAUUAUCCCAAGUGGCGACUCUGAAUUUUUUUAAUAAAAUAAUCCCGUUUCGAUUGUCACUUUAAGUUGGAAAAAACUCACUUAUAUACUCCCUUCCGGGGGUAUGAGGAAAAAGGAGGUGUGACAAUCCUCAUAGACCUCUAACACCUGAGAGGUGACCCUUUUCGAGUGUUCUUUGGUGGGAUCAGAGGAAUGAGGAGAAAUGAGGUUCUCAACAUAUGGAAAGGAGACAGAGUUUGAUAGAAAAGGAAAACAAUAGGAAAUGAGGAGGAAAUAAGUGUGGGUGCAGUAGUAUUGGAGGGAGUGGAAGAGUGAAUUUCUGGAGAUGACUUUAAGGAUGAUAGGGAAGUGGAAGCGGUGUUGAUGGGGGAAAAAGGAAGCGAUCGUUCGAUUGCCAUUAUAGGAGGAUUUGAUAGGGAAGUUGAUGAGAAAGAGAUGGGGAGAGGAUCAUAUAGAUACAAAGGAGAUUAAGGUUCAUGACUUGCUGUGAGAGGAAAAAAAAAGUUUUAUGGGAAGAAGGGCUAAUGAUGAGAAAAGGGAGAGAAACGAGUUCUGAACAAUCCUGAAAACGGCAGUAGGUUUGUGGGAAAACGUUAUCGUGCAGAGGGAAUGAAGGGAUUUGAAAGACAAGACAUGCAGAUUUUGAAAAGUUGGAUGAUGUGGCAUUUGAAUUAAUUUUGUUAACCCUUUUUGAGAAAGCAUGCAAAACAACACAUUAUUACUAACCUUUGGUACAUGAACCUAAUGCCUGACCAAUUUUUGAAAAAGGUUUUAGCAGCUCUUCUUUCGCAAUUCAUAAUUGCACCUUUAGCUUCCUUGAUCACCAUGCGUGUUUACCUGCAACGAUAUCGAUGUGAGUUAGGCUUUGCUAUAAAAUACUUUAGCUCAUUUUACCUGAAGGUGAUUUUCAUAGCCAACUAAUGGAGAAUCGGGUUCUCAACUUGGCUUCAAUACCCCCAGCUUCACCUUGUUUCUUUCAGAGAGUUCCCUACGCAAGGCUUUGGUGAAGAUAUCUAGAAUUUGGUCUUCUGUGUUGCAGAUCUUCAUACAGAUCAACCUUUUCUCCACAUUGUCCUUCAGACAAUGAUGCCUCACAUUAACGUGUUUGAUCCUUUUGUGUUGAACUGGAUUCUUGGCCAAGUUGAGCAUAACAGUGUUGUCAUAUAGAAGAGGCACCCAAUCAGUGAAUACUCUAAAAUCCUCCAGUUGCUGCUUAAUCCAUAAGAGUUGAGCACAAUAAGAUACUGCAGCUACAUAUUCUGCUUCAGCCGUUUCAGGGACCACUGGUUUACUGCCUUGUGCACCAAAAGAUGAAACAUGAUCAUAGAAAGUGGCCAUUCCAAAAGUGCUUUUCCUAUCCAAAAGAUAACCUGCAUAGUUAGCAUUAGCAUACCCAAUGGGAUUUAAAGUUGUCACCUGAGGGGUAAUACAGGACCAGGUCCUGAGUUUUCUUAAGGUAUCUCAAAACUCUUUUGGCAGUCUUCAAGUAAGAUCCCUUGAAAUUUGAUUUUGGAUUCUGUUUGGAAUAAAAGUACAGAAGGGUCUAUGGGAUUUUUUUUUUGAAUUUUGAUUCUUGUCUAGAUUCAGAAUGAAGGGGAGUAAUUGUGUUAUCAAGUAGGUGGGAGCUUUUGUGUUUCCAAGUGGGGACUGAAGUUUGAUUAGUAGAGAACCUGAGUAAAUUAAGUAGAUUUCCCUGCACUCCUUGUUCUACUACUUGUGGAAUAUCUUACCCCGCAUCUCCACUAGUUUCUUCAGCUUCAAUGGUAGUAAAUGAAGUACCAGGUUCCUCGUGCGAUAUGGAAGAGGAUUGUUUACCAUGAAAAUGGUAAUAGCAAUUAAAUUUGUUGAUGGAAUUCUAAAAAUACAUGAUCUAUUUUUAUGCUAGUUUGUUAAGCAGUUGGUGCUAAACGUAUGAGAUUUAGAAAUGAAAUAAAGUUAAGGAGAGAGCUAUAAUCGAACCGAUAUGUCAAUUAUUCGGGGCCUCAGGCUUGUCGAUUCUAGGCCUCGAGGUCGAUCCCGGAGUUCGAUUACGAGCUAUCGAAGACAAUUGCUAUGUGACUAACAGUUAUAAUAGAAUCAAUGGAAGCUCUUUAUAACCAAUGAUAGGCAAUAAAUGAUGAACAAAUAUGAAGACAAUAAAUGAAAGCAAUGAUAUCAAGAGAGUGCAUGAGAGAGCAAAGAGAAUGUUCUUCUAUAUUUCUUAUGGAGCAACUGGAGCCACAGAGUGUUACAAAGUGUCAAGGAUCCCCUUAUAUAGGAGGGGAAAUUCCAACAUAGUACAAAAUACAUUAAUGAUAAAGAAAUCAGGGUGGGACAGCUGGCUAACUUCAUGAUGCAGGCUCAGACUAGCUUCAGACUAGCCUGACAGAUUUUGCGGGCCCUGGCUGCACUCUUCAGGAACUCCCCAUAUCUGAGGUCGCGGCCAACAUUACCCUAGGUCGGGUGCCGAUGGACCUCGAGGGAGGGUACUCAGUCUGUGGUCUUGAGACUUCGAGGUGAUCUUCUGAGAUGCCUUAUCAACGAGAAAUUGGUUCCUCCAAUUUCACCAUAUACAGAUAGUCCCCGCGUUUCUUAGAGAGAAGCGACAAGAAAUGAUUUUGACAUUCGACUCUUCGGACUUCCUGUGAUGACGUCAUACUGAUGACACAAGCCUCCAUGAUUACCGAAACAUUUCGUCAUUUCACUUCUCUAGGAUCAUUAGACGUAUUGCAGUUUCUCAUUAUCCAAGCCAUAAUGUCACUAUCGAUUGAGCUUCCAGGGAUGCAUUAAAUAUGCCUGUCAUUACAUUUUUCAAGGGCGAUAAUGGCGCCGUCGGUUACGUUGCCCCUUUCUAUAAAUGGGGGCCUCCUUGGAUCAGCCUUUUAUCCAAGUACCUAUCCAUUCCUCCUUUCUCGCUAUCUUUAUUCUUUGUUGUUCACCAUGUUUAAGGCACAUGGCCUCAAGAUUGUAUGGCGGUACUUCUAUCGGGAAUGCCAUGGCCUGUCUCCUGGACCUUCUUUGGUCGAGCGAGAUUACACUAUUUUUUUUUUGUUGUUGUUGUUGCUAUCGUCGUUGGCUCGGGACGACGAAGCAGAGGGCCGAUUUCCUCCGACCCAAGGAAAUAUUUGGAUUAUACACAGCUACUCAAGAGGGGGCUCAGACUAUACACCGCUGCUCACCUCCCGUGAUUAUCCGGUUCAGCGCCUCACUCCCUUUGCUUUCCAUGGAGUGAGGUUGUACUAUCUACUAACUAUUGCAGCCUGCACCGGGGAAAUGUCUCAAGAAGUGACUUUACAAUAAUAGCCUGGUGAAAUUCAUACUAGCCAGAUUUUUCACCCAGCCACUUCUUCGUUCCUUCUUGCCUUUUCCGCGUCACUUUGUUCUUCUCCAUCGCUUUCCUCUUCAUCGUCUCCACUAUUGAAGAUGCCAUCCUGGGGAAUCGAGAUAAGACUCCCAAAGGGAUUGUGCUUGGAAGAUAUUGUAUUUGAGGAUGCGUGCCUAAGGAGAUGAUGCCCAAAAUUGUUGCUGCCGAGGACGCACCUUUGAGAAUACGAUAGGCUCUUAGGCUUUUACUAUAUGUACACCUUCUUGCUUCUUUUCUGUGUAAAGACCCCUCAUGGGCUUUUGUAAUCAUAUGUAAGGACCCCUCGUGGGCUUUUGUAAUCGAAUGUUUCAUGAAUACAAAGAUAUUUCUCCAAUUUAUCUUUGAUGCUUGCUAUAUUCUUUUAUGUCUGUGGAGACUCUGAAUGCAUGACUCUGUGUGUUGUUGCCAAUAUCAAGCCCAAGUGUGAAUAUUCUUUCUGGCCUUUGGUUGAUUAAUAUGGCCUCGCAUGGAACCUUUUGUGAUCCAUUGGAUUGAACCUGGAUCGAGCCGAUGAGCUCGGGUCGCCGGGACCUUAACUUCGAGUAGAAUGAAAGUAACGUUUUGGGUCUUGAAACAAUGAUUUAUUGCUUAAACUCCAUGGUAACCUUUGAGAAGAGAUUUGAUCGGAGGCCUGUGGACAGGGACUACCUUUGAUCUCUCGAGGGCAGUCCCCAAAAGGAGGUUCGUUCAAAUUCGGAUUACUUGGAAACUCGCUUUGAGCUUAGUGUAAAUAGCCUUAAGGCGCUGUAGAUAGAUCUUGAAAGAGGGUUUGUCCGAUCUCAGACGGUACUCCGAGGCCAAGCCCAUACGGGUGGAGCUUAAAUGCUUAUUUCCUUGGAGCCUGAUUCCCUUUUGACAAAAGCCCCCAAGGUUAGGUACCACCUCGGGUCUCGUAAUGAUGUCAUUGGUUUCCUGGAACCUAACCUUCCCUUUGAUAGAGGUCCUCGAGGUCGGGUGCCACCUUGGUGCCGACGAAGGCAUCAUCGGCUUGUUGGAGCCUAGCCUCGUACUGAUGGAGAUCCACGAGGUCGGGUGCCACCUCGGGACUGACAAAGGUGUUUUUAGUCAGUUUCGAGGCAAGCAGAUCGUCGCCAUUUUUUCCAUGAGUAUAUAUACAGGGAUGUUUUUACUUUUUGGAGAUCCCACCAUUUCAAGCGGUUGCCUUUCUCUUUCUGCGUCAAUCCUUUCGUUAUUUCAGUACUAAUGUACUUGCACAUAUUCCUAUUUUAGUUCUCCAAUUUUUCCAUGUUCAUGACCGCUGCAUCGGGGUCUGCCCAGAAGAGAGAGGAGAGCUCCACCUCCGGCAUUUAGGACCAACGAGAGUAUGCCUUGAAGGUUGCUUCUUUGAUAGGAGAAAAACAUCUUGGGUUAGUGAGAAAAGACUACGGAUGGGGGAGGGGAAGGUAGUGUUAUAGAUACUUUCCCCGGGUGAGUGCAUCACGGAUUGUGCCGAUGGAUUCUUGACUGUGCACACAUACCCUUUCACACUGGGACCUCUUGAUAGGGUUGUGCUCGACUUCUGCCUAGAGUAUGGGGUUACCUUGGCGCAGAUCCAUCCAUCAUUUUGGGAACAGUGUUGAUGAUGAGAUUUUUUGUGGAGAAGGCAGGGCUUGACUUUACUCUUAGUCAUCUUAUCAGGCUGUACUGACCCUUCCACCAUCGAGGUCCGUUGACCUUGCGAUGCUGAUCGACCACGCCCUUUGUUGUUGACGAUGAGGAAGAUAGAGAUUAGGGGUGGAUGAGUUGCUUCGUCCGGAUGCGGACUGCUGACAUUGUCCCCGUGGAGCUCAUGCCAUUCCCUAAGGAAUGGAACUAUUCUCGUAAGUGGUGCAUCUCGUGCUUUCUCAGUUUUGUCUGUGAAGAAAGCCUAGUUUUGUAACCGUGCCUUCUUUUCUUUUCUCACAGCGGUUUCAUGGGCGCCGGGCGACGUUCCUGAUUUGCUGGAUUGGGUCCAAAAGCUGGCGACCCACUCGACCUCUGAUGAGCGCAAGUGGCGAGCUGUGUCCCGGGGCAAGUGGUAAACAAAACACCAUAGUGAGUGAUGUGUUAUACUUUCCCCUCCCUUCCUUCAUUUGGAGAGGCACUUUCUCUUUAUGCAUAUUAAGCUUGCAAUUGUAGGCAUUGAAGAGCCUUCGAUGCGAGGCUGCGCUCCUUUCGAGAGGGGGAAGUGUUUUCAACUCCCGGGCUGAAGAAUGACAACAAUAAGUGAGAGAUGCUUUUUUCAGGGCAAUGGUGCUCAAGGCAAGGCAAAACGGGACUGGGGCAUCGGAGUGGAAGCAUCGUCCGAACCUACCGUGUCCGCGGUUCUUGGUUCUAGAAAAAGGGUUUCUUUGUUGUUGUUACCUUUGAUCGAUUUUCAAUGUCUUAGCCUUAUACUUCUUAUGUUUUGAUGAUCUAACAAACCUGUUAUGAAGAACCAGAUAGAGAAACUUGUCGCACAGGUUAUACAUCUCAUAUGAACAAUUCGACAACAGGAAGGAACUAAACGAUCAUAGAGAGGAACAUCACAGGGACCUGGUGCCCCGGUCUCUUAGGGUUCUCCGGCACAAAGAAGUCAAUGAUUGUACGCAAUCAAUAUAAAGAGGAACACAACAGGGACCUACUCCCUGUAGGUACUCUGACAGAAGUACAGGUCAAGUGCACAACUGGAAUAUGGCAGAAGAAAGUGACCAUCUGUUAACUGUUACAGAAGCGGAACACAACGAGGACCUGGUCUGUUGGUGUGUUCUGACAGAAGUACAAAGUCCACUAUCCAGCUGGAAUGCAACUGCCCAGUAGUGGCUGUGUAGACAGUGUAGUAGUCACUUCUCUCGGGUAAAAGGUACACCACGAGUUGACAUCACUACCUAUUGUGAUAUCUUUUGUGAUAAAACAACCUGGUGCAAGAAACACUAGGAUUUGUGUAUUCAGUGAUAUUCUCUCAAGAACAAGAAGAUAACUCCACUAAGGAUCAGUUUCUAAACGAGUCUUAUGUAUACCCAUAGUUGAGUUGUAAUCUUGUUAAUUGCUCUACAUUGUAAUUCCUAGUUUGCUUUGUUAGAAGUGCUGUUUUAGGAACAAAUCAAAUUCGUAAACUUUAGAGUUUAUGUUAUGACUAGGAAUAGUCAUAAGUUAAAUCCUCUGUAACUAGAAGAGUUAGAGAGUGGCUUGUGGUGGUUGCAUCACAAGGUAGUUUGAAGUCUUUGUAAUCGGCAAUAUUGCAAAGUGGCUUGUAAUAGGUAGAUUACAAGUUAGUUGAGUUAAAAGCCUACAAGAGUAGGUCGUGGUUUUUUGAUCCCCUUGUGUGGAAUUUUUCCACGUAGAAAAUCUCUUGCCUUCUUUACUUUCAGUCUUACUGCUUCCUACGUAUCAGCCUCAUACGGGACCAGGUACUCCAUAGUUUGGUGGACUUAUAUAGGCUAUCAAUUGGUAUCAGAGUGGGUUCCUCCUAUCAGGCUAACACCUAGGGAGGAUCCUUAAAUGGCUGCUCCACUAAGCUUUGAAGAAGGACAAUCAACCUAUAGACCUCAUAGAUUCAAUGGUCAAUACUACGAAUGGUGGAAGACUCGGAUGCAUGACUUCAUAAUGGCUGAAGAUUCAGAACUGUGGGACAUCUUUUGUGAUGGUCCACAUGUUCCCAUGAAGAAACAUGACCAUUGGUGCCCAAAGGGAGAAGAGAGUACAAUGACACUGACAAGAAAGCUGUAGAAAAGAACUAUCGUGCCAAGAAAAUCUUGAUGUGUGGCAUAGGACCUGAUGAUUACAACAGAGUAUCAGCCUGUGAUACUGCCAAAGAAAUAUGGGAAGCCUUACAAACUGCACACAAAGGAACAACUCAAGUCAAAUAAUCCAAGAUCGACAUGCUGACCACUAAAUAUGAGCCCUUCACGAUGAAGGAUGAUGAUUCCAUACAAGAUAUGCAUAUCAGAUUCACCUCCAUCAUAAAUGAGCUUCACUCACUUGGAGAUGUUAUUCCCAGAAACAAGCUUGUAAGGAAAAUUCUCAGUGUUCUACCUGGGUCUUUGGAAAGUAAGGUAAAUGCCAUCAUGGAAGCUAAAGAUCUACAGACUCUGACCAUGGAUGAGCUGAUUGGUAAUCUGAAAACAUAUGAGAUGAAAAGAAAGAAAGACAGUGAAAGAAGAGAGCCUAAGAAGGAAAAGAACCUGGUGCUUAAGGCUGAAAGGAGUGACUCAAGUGAUCAAGAUAGUGACAUGGCCUAUCUUACGAAGAGAUUUCAAAAAAUGGUUCGAAGAAAUGGUGGCAUACCAAAGUGGGACAGUUCAAGUAAAACAAGGAACAACGAUCUCUGUCACGGAUGUGGAAAGCCAGGGCAUUUCAUCAAAGAGUGCCCACUCGCGAAACAGGAGCAGUACAAGCAAAAUCCUGACAAAGCUGGAAAAAGGAACCUGGUUCUAGAGAAAAAAUUUAAUAAAAAAAGUGCUGCAGACAAUAUUGUUAAGCAGACUAUUUCUGCUUGGGGAGACUCCUCAAGUGAAUCUGAAAGGGAAUCAAUGCAGAAAAUAGUUCCAUGAUGGCAAUGGAAACUGAAGCAACAAAGUACGAUUCACUGUUCGUGUUGAUGGCUCAGUCAGAUGAUGAUGAUGAAGAAGAUGAAGACGAUAAGGUAAACUUCAGGGAUGUUCAGAGAAAUCUAAAAUCCUUUUCCUUUAAGAAACUAAGGUCUUUAUCAAAUGUCCUAAUUGACGCUUAUUAUAGUCUUGUAAAUGAUAAGGAGAUCUUGAUUGUAGAACUAGGGGAGGCCGAACAAUCUAGAGAUGAUCUAGUGGUCUGUGUAGGGGACUUAAAUGAAACCAUAGCUAAUCUUGAACUAGAGAAGGAGGCCCUAAAUGAAAAAAAUCCAGUGUGGGGAAUGAGAGAGAUGACGUGAUGGUAGUAGUCGUUGAUCUAAAAGAAAUAAUAGAAGGUCUUAGCAAUGAGAAACACUCCUUAGAAGAAAAAAUUGCCUCCACUGAGGAGGAAAGAUAUGACCUUCUAGUAAUAUGCACUGAUCUAGAGGAAACCAUUGAGGGACUCAGUAGAGAACAUAGGAAUGUAACUCUUGUGAAAGGGAAGGAAGUAGCUAGUGAGUCGCACAUCUUGCUCGAAAAGGAGUUAACUGUUGUAAAAACCAGUCUUUGCAAUGAACUCGAGAGAAAUUAGCAGCUCCAAGCUGAGUUGGAAAAAGUAAGAAAUAAUCUUGAAAAAUCCUUGAAAUGGACCUGGUCCUCAGAUGCAGUCAUUGCCAUGUAUAUCAACAAUAGUGGGAACAAGUAGGGCAUCGGGUUCCAAAGGGAGAAAACUCCCUACAACCCACACAGCAAGUAUGUCACUGUACAUGAUAACUGGCUAUGUACCCACUGCGGAAACAAUGGGCAUUUUAAAGAAAUUUUCUAGGCCAGGGUUCAGUCUGCUUAGAAGAACAAAACAUUUACAAAUAGAGUGACUACUAGCAAAGGAAUAGGUACUACUCGCAAAAAGCGGAUGCUGCCUACGUGGACCAAGAAAACCCUCAUUCAUCCUUUUUAUAGUAACAAGGGACCCAAACUAGUUCGGGUCCCUAAAUCUAACCCCUGUUGUGUAUGUGCAGAGAGCAAUGAGAGGAAGCAGACUGCGAUGGACUAUGGAUAGUGGAUGCUUAAAGCAUGCAACAUCAUGAAUUUCUUCUCACUGAAAGCCCUGUAGGAAGGGAAUGUAUCCUUGAAAAGAAAAUAAAGGGUACAUUCUCAGUGAAUGAAAAGGUAGAAAAGGUUCUUCUUGGAAUUUGAGUAGAGACAAGCACUAUGUGAAUGACCUAAAAGGUGCUGUCAUCAAUCUGAUAACUAGCCAAGUAGUAUCAAUGAACAAAGGAAGCAAGAACAGUCACUCCUGCUAAUCAUCAAUUGGAGAAUGAGAUAAGUGAAAUCACAACUAUGAAGGGGCAGUAUAUGGAAAUUUCUCACCUCCGAAGAAACUAACUCAGUCGGACUUGGUCCGUGAUCUUCCAAACUCAAGCGUGACCUGGACAUGAACUCACAAAAUUGAUGGAGGAGAGGGAGAAGGAAUUUCGCACAAUUUCUCAAACUCUAAGGAUUGAAUAACCAAAAUAGCGUAGCAGAAAGAAAGAACGGACCUGGAAAUUGUUGCAUAAACUGUGCUCAUCGUCUAGGGAAUCUCCAAGAAACUAUGGGAAAAGGAAUAAACAUUACUCUCUACUUGGAGAACAGGUGUCGGACCAGGUGCCUCCUAAAUCAAAACUCACUAGGAACUGCCAAAUUGGAAAAAAUUGCCUUGUGCUUGACAACAGGAAGGGUCAGCUUGGGGAGCUCAAUGCAAAAGGACGAGCUAAGGACUUCUUCUAAAGUUCAAUCCACAAAACAAAGCCACAGGGUCUUCAACAAGGAAACACAAAAUGGCAGGAAAUGCUCAUAGGGCUUCAAAUUAGGAGGGUGAUAGAGUGAGCAAAAUGAAAGAAGACUGGCGAGAGACAACGCAACAUCAUCUUCCUUGUCUCACAAAGAACCUUGUACAUCAUUUGCCAUAACUGAAGCUGAAGGAAGAAGAAAAGAUGUAGCUCAUGGCACUACACAACCAGCAGAACACAAAGUGUGAGGAAAUCAAACUGACCUCCAUAUGUUUCUUCCCAACCAACCUCUAUUUCAAGUUGGGAUACCAAAGUGCACUUGUCAUGAUUCAUGCAUUAUCUUCUGGAAGACAAGGAAGCAAGACCAAAUGACCUCAUCAACAUCUGGAGAGAAAUUGCAAACACAUUGAAGGGUGAGAUCCUUUUUUGAGGGUAAAUAUGAAGAAGGGAUUGAUCAGUGGAAAGGAUUGCAUAAUAGAAGACUAAACUCCAGAUAUCUGUAUCAAAGCCUCAAGUAGAGAAUAUUUUGAAUAAAUCAAGGCGAAGACGGGGUCACACAAAUCUAAAGAAGAACCUGAUUCUCCAUCUAUUGGCUGUGUAAGACACCUUCAGGUAAAGAUAGCUAAAGUAUUUUCUGACCAAGCCUAGCUCACAUCAAUACCGUUGUAGGUAAACACGCAUGACGAUCAUAGAAACCAAAGGUGCAGUUAUGAACUGUAAGGAGGGGAACUGCUAAAAUCUUGUUCAAAAGAUUGCUCUGGCAUCAGGUUCUCGUAUCUGAGGUUAGUAGGAAUGUGCUUAAUUUUUGCAUGCCCUUUAUAAACAAAAAAAGGCAUAUAAAUACUUUGUAAUUCAGCUACCACGUCAUUCAAUUUUUCAACGUCUGAGUGACAUGUCUUGUCAGUUAAAUCCUUCAUCCCCUCUACACGGUAACACUUCCUUACAAAUCUACCGUCGUUUUCAGACGUUUCAGAACUUGUUUCGCUCUCCACUCAUCAUUAGUUCUUCUCCCAAUAAGAAACUUCCCCUCUUUCUCACGGCAAGUUAUGAACCUUCAUCCCCUGUGCAUAGCUAGGAUCCUCUCCCUAUCUACUCCUUCCUCUUUCAACUCAUAUACUAAGUGUUCAUCUAAUGGCGAUGGAAAAAUCUUCUCAUUCCCCCGCCAUUACACUGUUCCCAUUUCUUCAUCACCCUUGAAAUCAUUCCUAGAGCUUCACUAUUUCACGCCUUCUACCACCUUACACACUUAUGGGUCCUCCUCCACUCCUACAGUCUUUCCAUUUCUGAUAAACCCUGUUUACCAUUAUUUUGAGAAUCUUAUGUCUAGUCAAUCUUAUGAUCUCAUCAAAGACCACACAGAAGGUCUCACUCCUCGAGUAUCAGAAGCCCCUGAGGACGAUCCUGACCAGUACCUUAAUACCUCCAUGUUAGACUCAGUGACUCUCAAGGAGUCACCAGAAAAGGAAGCAGCUCAUAACAUUAUGGCUAUAUCUGCAAAGAGUCUGAUGGAUGAAGAAGCUUAUCUCUCCUCAGAGUAUCAAGAUGAAUACUUAACACUCCUAGGAGAUGUAAGAACCACAUAGUUUGGCUCAUGAGAUAUUUUCAGAAAAGCCUUCUAAUGAACCUGAUUCACUCCUAUGCAAACUCACUCCUGUAUCUUCUGCUCAUUCCAAACUCCUAGAGUCUUCCUCAAAAUCACCCAUCACCAGGUCACUACAGCAAGAGAAUUUUAAAUCCUAAUUGCAGAAAAGUAAGAGAAGUGUCAAGACAAGGAAAAAGAGAAAAAUGAAUCCAAAAGAUUUCAUCAAGAGUGUGCCAGUGAAUCAAAUAGACAAAAAUGCUUCUAGAGAACCUGGUUCUUUAGUGCAACAGUCUGUGACGAUUAAGGAAAAUGUUGAAGAACAGAAAGGGUCACCUGGGAAGCACAACAGCAAGUCUAAACAGAGUAAAACUAAGAUAGUUGUGUCAAAGGACAAAACUGUAGAGGUAACAAGAUGGAAAGGAGAGUCUGUCGAAGGAACCAGAAACCAGGAAAGGGAAACUGUUCAUGAACCUGGUGCAUCAAAGUCCUUAACCUGUGAUGGUGUUCAGUGCUAGCAAAGAUUAAGAACUCAAAACUUGUUGUGGGGCCGAGAUUUUGAUCCAACAAUUUCGGAAAUGGCUGGCAUGAGACAAAUUUUGGAGAUUGUAGAAUUUCAAUAAUGAGAACACCUAUUUGAAGGGAGCAUGCAUCUGGUGUAUAAAGAUGCAGUGCAAACCUUCUACUCAUCUCUCUUCACUGUUGAAGGGGACCACAUCUACGCACUUGUAAACGGAGUGGACAUUGUACUCGACACUUCAACAUUAGGAAAAAUCUCAAAAUUCCGUGUGAAGGUGUGUCCUCGGUCAAGGAUGUUUGUGGAGUAAACUUUUGAAGAGCCAUCAUGAAAGAGCAAGCUAUUCAACAGGGGGAACAAGUCCAUAAGAAAGUGUUACUUCCUGAGUAUCAACUUCUCUUUGAACUGGUCAAUAAAGUACUCCUACCCCGCUCUAAGAGACGGUCCAUUGCCACAAAGUCAGAUUUGGUCCUGAUGGAAGCGCUUGAUGAAUUUGUACCAAUCAACCUGCCAGCAAUCAUGGUAGAUCACAUGCAGAAGGUGGCAAAUUUUAAGGGUGGCAAUCAUGGAUUACCUUAUGGCUUUCUCCUCAAUCAAGUGUUCAGAUUCUAUAAGGUUCUCUUGGGAAAUCCUAGAGUGGGCACACGCAAGCAAACAUUUUCUAAGACUACUCUAGAAGAAUGUGAAUGUAUAGAAAAUUUGGUAGAAGCAUCUCGACCAUUUCUCAGCUGAUAAACGCCCAAAAUGUAGCCUCUGAGGAAAUACGAAGGCUGAGGGCUCGAAAUGCCAUUCUAGAAACUCAGCUUAGCCAAGCAGCUAAGGGACCUAAUUUUGUACAUGAGGAGGUUGCCAAACUGAGAAAGGAAAAUGAGAGACUUCGGGCUCAACUACUUGAAGAACAACUGGCCGCAAAUGCUAGACUGGACCUGGUUCUCAAAACCAUUGUUGUCUCUUCCUCCAAGCCUCCUCCCCUUAGUGCUCCCUAGGAUUCUCCUUAGUAUCUAGCUAUUUUUGCACCAACUUCCUGUGGUUAUUGUUUUACUUGUUUUUGUUUUGUGAUGGCAUGUUGAACUUAACCAUUACUGCUCCUGACUUGCUCAGUCCAAUGUAAACAUUAAUGAAACAACUCCCAUUUUUCUUGCAUGUACAACAUUGUGUUCCUCUGGUUUCUCUUUUCUGUCAUGACUGUUUGAACAUAUGUGGCAUGAGCUAGCUGUGUUAGACUUCUUUAUGCUUAUUACCUGCGAGUGCUCUUUGUCAUACUAGUUGGUCUUUUUAAUGAUACCAAAAGGGGGAAAUUAUAUAAUAGAUGGGGAUGGGGCUGAGAAGAUUAAGGGGGAACUAUGCUAUGCCUGUGAUGUGCUAUGUCUGUGAUGAUCAAAGGAGGGAGAUCUAAGAUUAAGGGGGAACUGCUGACUCAUCUGGUUAAUUAACUGUUAAUCCUGAUCUAAACAAAUGCUUUUCAUCCUUAAGUUUGUCAUCAUCAAAAAUGGGAAAAUUGAUGGGUUUUCAAUGUCUUAGCAUUAUAUUUCUUUAUGUUUUGAUGAUCUAACAAACUUGUUAUGAAGAACCAGAUAGAGAACCUUGUCGCACAGGUUAUACAUCUCGUAUGAACAAUUCAACAACGGGAAGGAACUAAACGAUCACAGA